rnacentral:rRNA from 1 species
GAUGAACGCUGGCGGCGUGCCUAAUACAUGCAAGUCGAGCGAACGGACGAGAAGCUUGCUUCUCUGAUGUUAGCGGCGGACGGGUGAGUAACACGUGGAUAACCUACCUAUAAGACUGGGAUAACUUCGGGAAACCGGAGCUAAUACCGGAUAAUAUUUUGAACCGCAUGGUUCAAAAGUGAAAGACGGUCUUGCUGUCACUUAUAGAUGGAUCCGCGCUGCAUUAGCUAGUUGGUAAGGUAACGGCUUACCAAGGCAACGAUGCAUAGCCGACCUGAGAGGGUGAUCGGCCACACUGGAACUGAGACACGGUCCAGACUCCUACGGGAGGCAGCAGUAGGGAAUCUUCCGCAAUGGGCGAAAGCCUGACGGAGCAACGCCGCGUGAGUGAUGAAGGUCUUCGGAUCGUAAAACUCUGUUAUUAGGGAAGAACAUAUGUGUAAGUAACUGUGCACAUCUUGACGGUACCUAAUCAGAAAGCCACGGCUAACUACGUGCCUGCAGCCGCGGUAAUACGUAGGUGGCAAGCGUUAUCCGGAAUUAUUGGGCGUAAAGCGCGCGUAGGCGGUUUUUUAAGUCUGAUGUGAAAGCCCACGGCUCAACCGUGGAGGGUCAUUGGAAACUGGAAAACUUGAGUGCAGAAGAGGAAAAGUGGAAUUCCAUGUGUAGCGGUGAAAUGCGCAGAGAUAUGGAGGAACACCAGUGGCGAAGGCGACUUUCUGGUCUGUAACUGACGCUGAUGUGCGAAAGCGUGGGGAUCAAACAGGAUUAGAUACCCUGGUAGUCCACGCCGUAAACGAUGAGUGCUAAGUGUUAGGGGGUUUCCGCCCCUUAGUGCUGCAGCUAACGCAUUAAGCACUCCGCCUGGGGAGUACGACCGCAAGGUUGAAACUCAAAGGAAUUGACGGGGACCCGCACAAGCGGUGGAGCAUGUGGUUUAAUUCGAAGCAACGCGAAGAACCUUACCAAAUCUUGACAUCCUUUGACAACUCUAGAGAUAGAGCUUUCCCCUUCGGGGGACAAAGUGACAGGUGGUGCAUGGUUGUCGUCAGCUCGUGUCGUGAGAUGUUGGGUUAAGUCCCGCAACGAGCGCAACCCUUAAGCUUAGUUGCCAUCAUUAAGUUGGGCACUCUAAGUUGACUGCCGGUGACAAACCGGAGGAAGGUGGGGAUGACGUCAAAUCAUCAUGCCCCUUAUGAUUUGGGCUACACACGUGCUACAAUGGACAAUACAAAGGGCAGCGAAACCGUGAGGUCAAGCAAAUCCCAUAAAGUUGUUCUCAGUUCGGAUUGUAGUCUGCAACUCGACUACAUGAAGCUGGAAUCGCUAGUAAUCGUAGAUCAGCAUGCUACGGUGAAUACGUUCCCGGGUCU